GGGAGUGGAAGGGAUUACGCAUCGUGAGAACCAUGUUCAUUUGCUGUUAAUGUUAUUGGGUCUAAAAAGCAGUAUCUGCAGUACCAGGGCCCUUAGUUAACCAGACCAGUGUGUGUUCUUCUACACCAUGAUGAUCUCUGUUGGUAGCAGCUGUUGAAGAGAGUGGCUUAAGGACAGAACAAUCACACGUAAAGAGCAGAACCAUCUAUCCUUGUCUGUGGUGUUGUUCGUCAAAGUGCUGGACAUAAAGGACAAUGCGCCAAGGCUUGCCAGAGACUACCAGCCAUACAUCUGUGACGGCACACAGUCAGGAGAGCUCAUCCAGCUAAUCAGUGCUGUGGAUCUGGACAACCUAUGGAGGGACACCAUUUCUAUUUCUCCAUGGUCCAUGAGAAGCACAUCAACCCCAACUUUACCUUCAGGGACAACCAAGGUUGAGUACAGAUAGAUCCUCUGACUGUCACGUCCUGACCAGUAAUGGGGUUAUUUUGUUAUUGCAGUUUGGUCAGGACGUGGCAGGGGGUGUUUGUUUUAUGUGGUUCGGGGUUUGUUGGGCUAUGUUCUUGUUAGUUUAUUUCUAUGUUAGUUCUAGUCUUUCUAUUUCUAUGUUUACUUAAUGGGGUUGACCUUCAAUUGGAAGCAGCUGCUCCUCGUUGCUUCUAAUUGAAGGUCUUAUUUAAGAGGGGUGUUUUUUCUAUGGGAUUUGUGGGUAGUUGUUUCCUGUUUUGUGUCUGUGCACCUGACAGGACUGUUUAGUGGCGGUCGUUGUUUUGUAUACGUGAUUUGUUUGUUUUUUCCUUCUUUUGAUUUAAUAAAGAAGAUGAGUAUACACGUUCCCGCUGCACCUUGGUCCAAUCCUUAUGAUGCCCAUUACACUGACUGUCAUUCAAACUGGCCUAUGUAUUCAUGAACAAAGUUUGACAUGACUUAGACAUCUGUGUAGCAAUGCACAGAAAUAAAAAAUAGAAAAGCUUUGAUAUUUACGGUGUCCAUAUUAGGACAGCAUCACACGCCUAAAUCAACUUUCAUGUAUGUGUGAUGCUGUCCUAAUAUGGAUAACAUACAAAUCUUUAAGCUAUUAAAUCAGGUCUGCUCCUCAACCAGAAUCUCCCUAUCCACCACAGACAACAGUGCUAGCAUUCUGGCAUGGCAGAGGUUGUUCACCCGUAGGGACAAUACCCAGUACAUGCUGCCCGUGGUGAUGGUGGACAGUGGCUCCCCAGCCCUCUCCAGUACUAGUACCCUGACCAUCAGCGUGAGCAGCUGUCGGUCUGCCGGACACUGCUCCACAGGCGGGGUGGAGGCCCUGGCCCUAUCCAUGGGGUUCAGCCUCCAGACCCUUCUGGGUCUCCUGGUCUGCUUGGUAACACUCAUAGUUCAGUGACACUGUACCCUUGGAAUGGGCAUAUCUGCUUUUUUAUAUGAUGGGUAAAUGUUGAAUGUGUUUACAUGAAAACAUAUCAUGAUAAAAUAAACUGUUUCAGAUCUACAAGUUACAAGUGACUGUUUUUAACAGAUCUGUUGUGUUAGUAAAGAGCUAGUGCAGUGCCACUUCACAUAAACUUGGCAAGUAUAAAGUGUGUGGCUAUAAAAUUGGAUAUCUUGAAAUGUAUCCCACUCUCAUUAAUAAUAGUAAUAUUUCACUCAGCCUCACCAGUGUGCCCUAAACACAAAUAUGAAACAUCUAAAUGCUUAGCAAAGCACAAUAAUGUUUUCAGCUAGUGAUGUGCUUAUGUUACAGAUACAGGUAUCCUGUGUGUGUAUUUGUUUUCUUUCCUUCUGCCCUAGUCACAGGUGUCACUCAUCAGUCGCCAAUCAGAAGACACACCUGAUCCUUUUCCCUUACGCAAUCACAUCCCCUUUCCCUUGGUUUAAAAGUAUCCCAAUCAGUUGUCUCUAGAGUUAUCUCUCUUUUGUUUUUGCACCUACAUGUCACAUUUGUCCGUUAUUAUGUGAGUAUGUAUUGUUAUGGUGUAUGACUGUUUGCUUGCUGGUGGAAAAGUGGAUACCAAGACAAGUCGCCCAUGGGCAUACAUUACCCGUAGGAAAACAUUGUCUAAGAACCCUAGUUAGAACUGGGCGGACCACCCACUGUAUUUUAUUGGUUAGUUAGCUAUCGGUUAUUGAAGCAAGUAAGAAUAGCUUAGGGGUUUUUGGAUAUUUAUUAUUUCUUUCCUUGGGUCCAGCUCAACCCCUCCCCCUCCCCUUUUAUCGUGUGUUUAACAAAUAAACCAUAAGUGUUUGACGG